rnacentral:rRNA from 1 species
GACGAACGCUGGCGGCGUGCUUAACACAUGCAAGUCGAACGAUGAAGCCUUUCGGGGUGGAUUAGUGGCGAACGGGUGAGUAACACGUGGGCAAUCUGCCCUGUACUUUGGGAUAAGCCUUGGAAACGAGGUCUAAUACCGGAUAUGACUGGCCUUCGCAUGGGGGUUGGGUUGGUAAAGUUACUGGCGGUACAGGAUGAGCCCGCGGCCUAUCAGCUUGUUGGUGGGGUAAUGGCCUACCAA